AUUGAACGCUGGCGGCAGGCCUAACACAUGCAAGUCGAGCGGCAGCGGGAAAGUAGCUUGCUACUUUUGCCGGCGAGCGGCGGACGGGUGAGUAAUGCCUGGGGAUCUGCCCAGUCGAGGGGGAUAACUACUGGAAACGGUAGCUAAUACCGCAUACGCCCUACGGGGGAAAGCAGGGGACCUUCGGGCCUUGCGCGAUUGGAUGAACCCAGGUGGGAUUAGCAAGUUGGUGAGGUAAUGGCUCACCAAGGCGACGAUCCCUAGCUGGUCUGAGAGGAUGAUCAGCCACACUGGAACUGGGACACGGUCCAGACUCCUACGGGAGGCAGCAGUGGGGAAUAUUGCACAAUGGGGGAAACCCUGAUGCAGCCAUGCCGCGUGUGUGAAGAAGGCCUUCGGGUUGUAAAGCACUUUCAGCGAGGAGGAAAGGUUGGUAGCUAAUAACUGCCAGCUGUGACGUUACUCGCAGAAGAAGCACCGGCUAACUCCGUGCCAGCAGCCGCAGUAAAAC
rnacentral:rRNA from 1 species